UUUAUACACAAGGAAACUGAGGCACGGCAGGGCGCUGCAAUAGAGCCGGAGUCACUCAGCCGGGGUCAGCAGAGCUGGGCCUCCAACCCGCUCGGUCUGGGGCCCAAUCCGGCUCCCUCAGCCACGGUACCUCCCCUGCAGGAGCCAAGUGACCCCGUCAAAGGACAUACCAGUUCAUGGCACAGGUGUCACCAAGCACAUGCCGUAUGACAAGGACUGGGCAGGAAGGAAGGACGCGGCCCUGCGCUGGCACAGCACAGGGGCCCGCAGAGCAAGAGCUUGCUGAACGGGUGACAGUGACGACCCUCACCCGCUGUGGGGACACUGGGGGCCCUUAGGGGCAGAGGUGGGAGAGCAGGGGAGGACAGGGGCUGCCCUCCUGAGCGCGGGUCAGCACGGGGCCCAGGAGCUUCCUCGGUCCUCCGGGGGGCACUCACCAUCGAUUGCCACAGCUAACGUUGCCGGGUUCCCCCUGGGUGCGGGGCCCUGGGAUAGGCACGCAGACCUAGUCUUCACAACGGCCCCGGGGGGUAGUGGCUGGACUUGCGUCCCCCUAGAAGUUAUGUCCAAGUCCUAACUCUGGAUACCCGUGAAUGUGACCUUAUUUGGAAAAAGGGUCUUUGCCGAAGAAAUAAAGUUAAGGAUCUUGAGAGGCAAUCCCCCUGGAUGAGGGUGGGCCCUGAAUGCACCGACAGGUGUCCUUACAGAGACGGAUGAGAGACACGCAGAGCAGAGCAGAGCAGAGGCCACGUGACGGCGGAGGCCGAGGUGGGAGCGGUGCUGCCAGGAGCCCCCAGGAGCUGGAAAAGCCGAGGAAGGGUCCUUCCGAGAGCCUCCGGAGGGAGCGUGGCCCUGCCGACCCCUUGACGCCAGACUUCUGGCCUCCAGAACGGCGACAGAAUAAACUUCUGUUGUUCUGAGCCACCAGCUUAUGGUCACUGGUCGUGGCAGCGACAGAAACUAGUACAGGCAGGUCCCGUCUCCUUACUCUCCGGAUGCGGCCCAGAGAGGCCUGGCCCGAGGAGCCCGAGGCAAGUGGGCAGGAGACUCCCUGCUUUGACCUUGGCCCCCCGACCCCCGCCCUGCCCCGGUCUAUUCUCAACACAGCAGCCAGGGAGAUCCUUCUACAAAGUAAGUCAGACCUUGACGCUCUGCUCACAACUCCCAGUGCCUCCCGUCUUACCCAGAGUGAAAUCUAGAGUUUCUAUGACCACAGGCCCUUUCCAAUCCAGUGUGCUCCCAUCUCUCCACCUUCAGCUCUUCCCCUCCCAGGGCUGACUGGUCUGCACCACCUUGGUCUCCUUGUUUGCAUAACCACCUCAUCCACUUCUACCUCAGGGCCUUUGCACCAACUGUUCACUGUCCUCUUGCCCCAAGUAGCCCUCUCGCCCUGCCUUCUCUUCUUAUAGCUCCUGCUCAAGUGACUCUACCUGUGAGGCCUUCAUGUAAAAUGCCCCCACCCCCACAGACACUUGCUUCCUAGUCCUAUCCCGGCUUUUGAAAAAUAAUUUUUUAUUAAAAAACUUUAUUUUUUUAGAGCAGUUUUAAGUUCACGGAAAACUGAGCAGAAGGUGCAGAGCUCUCCAGCAUACUCUCUGCCCACACUCAUGCGUAGCCUCCUCCAUUAUUGUUGGCACCAGACUGCACCUUUGUUACAACUGAUGAACCGACACUGACGGGUCAUGAUCACCCCAGGCCCAUCAUUUACACCGGGGUUUGCGCUCGGUGUUGUUCCACAGAAUUAUGGGUUUGGAUAAACAUAUAAAGACCUGUAUCCACCACUGCAGCGUCGCCCAGAAUAGUCCCCCUGCCCUGACAGCCCCUGCGCCCCACCUGUUCCUCUCCCCCUCCCCGCACCCCCAGCAACCCGAUCCGAUCCUUUCACUGUCUCCGUAGCUCGGCCUUUUCCAGAGUCUCAUAUGGGUGGAAUCACACAGUGUGUGGCCUUCUCAGACUGGCUUCUUUCCUUAGUAACGUGCAUUUGAGGCUCCUCCACAUCUUUUCCCAGCUUGAGAGCUCCUUUCUUUCAAGUGCUGAAUGACACAACGUUGUGGGCAGGUUCCCCCUCCUGAAGGACACCCUGGGGGCAGCUUCUGCCGCUACGAACACAGCUGCUAUAAACACAUGUGCGCACGCCCCUGCUUUUCCCUUCCCGGAUCUCUUCCUUUCCACUCGCUGAGACACACGUCUCCCUCCGUGAUGGAUGCCUCACGUCCCCGAGGACAGAAGGCACCCCCCUCCACCUGCCAAGAGCCACAUCUGUAGCAACUGCUCAGAAACCAAGUGUGACAACCGGCUAAGUCCCCCUCCCUUCCCGGCAUGUGACUUGUGAAUCUUUCUGGUUCUGGGGCCACCGGGGAAACCGUCCAGGGAAACUGGCUCAGGGGCUCGCUCACUCACAGGGAGAGCAGAACAGCUCCCACUUCCAGCGGGAAACUCGAGCGCUCACGCGUCUUUUCACAACGGGAACAGCCUACGAGCCGGCCCGGGGCUGCGCGUCCUCUCUGUCCCCGAGUGCACUGGUGUGCGGAGCACGGAGCACCGGGUGGAGAGACUCGAGCCUGAGUCACGGGCUGAAGCCCCAAGACCCUUGCUUCAGGUCCUCCAUCAGGUGACCUUGAGGGGGGUACCGAGGAGGGGAGGGGGCCCGGCAUUUGCCCACCACUCUCCGGCACGGGCACGUCCUCAGCAUCGUCCUCCGGAGAAAUGGGGCCCUACGCCCAGUGCAGGGAUGACGCUCAGACAGGCAGAGUAACUCACGCCGGCCGCACCACCAAAAGUUUCAGAGCAACAUGGACCCUGGGCCCCAAAGCCAAGCUCCUUCACCACCCCCAUCCCGCCUCUUUCCUUCCUUCCUUCCUUCACUCACUCACUCAUUCAAGGAGUGUUCAUUGAGAGGGGAUCACGUCCCAGGCACUGCUGGGGUCCUAGGGUACAGUGGGACAUGAACUCACCCACUCUCCUGGAGCUGGCUUUCCUGUGUGCAUGGGAAAGAUGGAGGACAAUAAACACCCGAACGAUUGACUGUACAAUGUAUAAAGGUGGCCAAAAGUGCGUGGGAGGAACAGGAAGCUUUGUAGGGGGGCUGGGUGGGGGUGAUUAUGGCGUGGGCAUGGUAUUUAGAUGUGGGGGGACAGAAAAAGCUUCUCUGACAAGGUAACAUUUGGGCAGAUACUUGAAGGAAGUGAAGGAGGGAGCGAUGCAGACAUCUAGGGAAAGAGCAUUCCAGCCCGAGGAAACAGGCAGUGCAAAGGCCCUGGGGUGGGAAUGAGCUUGGUAUGCUGGAGGACAGCAAGGAGGCCAAGUGGUGGAGAGAGAAGCAAGGGUGUGGGGCUGAAGCCAUUGCGGGGGAGGGGCUUUGAAUUCUCUUCCCAGUGACACUGGAAGCCCUCGGAAGGGUUGUGAACAGAGAAUUGACACCCUCUGACUUGGAUUUUGAAAUGAGUUCUGACUGCUGGAUUGGGGGUUUGGAACGGGGGUGGGAACCACACCAGUGGAGGGGGGCCAGCUAGGAGCUGCUGUACACACAGGUGACAGGUGCCACAGGUGGCCGGGGCUGGGGUGCUCUGCGGUAGAGGUGACGAAGAGGAGGCCUCCGCGGGGCUGCAGGUUGGGCUGCCAGAGGAAGGGGGGUCCCAGGACGACCCCAAACGGUUCAGCCUGAGAAAAUGCAAGAAGGGGGCGCCACGCAGGAGCCCCUGCGCCUCCCUCUCCGGGAGGCGGGGGUCGGCUUUGGCAAGUCCUGGGUAUGGAGGAAGAGAAAGGUCCCGACUUGGAUCCCCAGGUCCCUUCAGCUUCCAGAACACUCAGCUUAAGCAGAGGGAGGAGGAGGGGCGGCGAGGAAGCAGUUCCAGGUGGCAGGGCCGCCUCCCCAGGAACAGGGUGCCCGGACGCGGCCAAGCAGGCCAGCUACCCACCAGCGCCGCUGGUAAACACACGGUUUCCAACAACAAAGCGGCCGAGGGUGGGUGCGGGGGUGGCGGGAGGAGCCGCGGGGACACCUCGGCGGGGCUGGCGGGAGGCUCCGGGAAGUCCUUCUGAAAUGGCCCCAGGGCCAGGCGGAGGGGGCGGCCCGCGGGGGUCCCGGGAGGGCGUGGGGCGGGGCUGGGCUGCGGUCCUGGGUGGGGCUUGGGCUGCGAUCCCACUUGGCGGACGGGAAAGGGGUGGAAAGGGUAGAGGAAGGGGGUGGGUGGGAGGUGGGGGGGGAGGGGCUGGGUCGGGGCGCGGAUGGGGGGGCGCGAUUGGGGAGGAGGUUGGGGCUUGGGGUUGGGGCGCCGAUGGGGGCUUGAGGUUGGGGCUUCGGAUGGGGAAAAGACGGGGAGGGGCCGGGCUGGGGUCCCGGACGCGGAUGGGGGCGUGGGGACGGGGUCCCCCUCCCGCGGCGGGGACCGCCCGCUUCCUCCCCUGGGCGAGCGGGCGGUAAACAAACGCCGUGAUGUCACGGGCGCCGCUGACCUGCGGCUGAACCCGGAGCUGUAAAUGAGAUGCAAGGUGCCAGCAGCCUGCAGGCCCGGCCGCGCCGCACGCUCCUGCGCGCCGGCCUGAGCUUACCCCAGCUGCGCGCGCGGACAGGAUGCUGCCGACGCCACCAGACAUUGCAACACGCAGCCAGUCUGCUGGCCGCCGCGUGAACCGGCCCGCCGCCCUCCGCCGCGCCCCCUGGCAGGCCCCGGCCCAGCUGCAGCGCCGCCUCCCUCCUCCGGAGCAUCCCUGGGGCCGGCGGCUUCCACCCAUCUGGGGGCGGCCGCUCCGCGAGGGACCCCAUCCUCUGCCUCCCCGGGGGGCCUCCAAACCCAGGGCCCGGCCUCCUCCGGGGUCAGCCUUGGGCUUCCCGCCCGACCCACUGGGGAGGUGCCCGCCUCUGCGCUCGGCUUUCUGGGAAGCUCGCUCCUCUGGGGCGCGCGCAGGAGGCCUUCCUCCAGGUGUACGCAGAGGCCAAAGUGUCCUGACGGCUGCCCACCAGCCGCUCCCCCUCUCCACCAAGCAGGGGGCCGCGGUUUGCUCCAGAGAGCUCCGGGAGCGGCCCUGGACUGCACAGCCUUGGCAGCUCCCGGGCCUGAGCUGCCCUUUGGAAUGGAAAGCCGCCUGGCUGGGGCCCGGCAGGCCGGCACUCUGCUCUGGAGUUGAUUUGCUGUGUGACUUUUGGAUGAGUCAUUGGCGUCUCUGGGCUUCACCAUCUCCGUCUGGGGAAUUGAGAAUCGAAACUGGCCUCCCUCUGCUCACCGUGGGGAAGGUCAAAAGUGCAAGAAACCCUCCCCGGACGCGGGGGCGGGGGGGGGCAUGAGGCCUCAGGUUCAGGGCGUGCUGCCGGCCGUGGGAACUGGAGCUGCUCAGAGAGAGCCAGGCAGCCGCCCUCCUCACCCACCUGCCCCCAAACUCAGCCUUCUGGGUUUAGUUCGAGAAGCCAGGGCUGCGGGGGGAUGGUUAACUAGUCCCCUGGGCGCAAGGAGCCCCCUCACUGGCUCCCCUACUUGGACUCCACUUACUGAAGUCCUUGUGGGGGUUGAGGGAACCUGGAAAUGACCUCAGAGCUUUGAAAAGCACCCCAGGACGGCAGCGAGGCCCAGCCUCACACCAGAGCCCGGCCAGCGCCCCUCGAUGAAGUUCGUCUUUCACGCCCUCUCCCUUCACAGCACCCGCUGUGUCAUCUAUAUAGCACUUUGUCACUAUCUGAAGUUUUAACAGUGAUUUUCCACUUGUUUCCCCGUCGCCAACACACACCCUCUGGAACCAAGGUGCUCAUGGUGAACCCCUAGCUUGGGAAUCAGGUGGCUGUGAAUAUGUGAACGAAUGAAUGACGACGUCAUUUUGCCGCCCCUGUGAGGUGGGCGACAACGUCCUUGAGGGGACCUUGGGAGGGAUGAAGAUGACAGCCGGUGCGGGGUGGCUCUCACGAGGACCGGCCACAUAAUUUGCCAGGCCCUGUGCAUCACGAAAAUUUGGGGCCCCGUGUUCAAAAAUUGCUGACAACUUCAAGACAGCCACAGCGGGGCGUUAGUGCUGGGCCCUUCUAAGCGUGGGGUCCCGUGGGGCUGCCCAGGUCACACACCCGGGGAGCUGGCCAGGGCAAUACCCAGGGGGCCGGAAUGCCAAGUCACGGGCCUUCUGCCCCUGCCCUGGGCAGCAGGAAAUCUGGCUCCGACAGAGCCACUCCGUGACGCAGAGCGGACACCGCCUUCUGGACAGACAGCUGACAACGGCCAGCUGACCCAGAGCUGCCCGCACACGUGCGACGUGAGAGCAGUCGGCCUGGAGUGGAUCAGACUGAGGGGCGGCAGCAACCAUGUGACAUCGCCCUCGCCAGUGUUCACUCAGGAGCUGCUCUAAGAGCUACAGUGAGGCCACACGCACGCAACCCCUUAGCUUCGGUCCCCAAAUCCAAAAAGCUCUAAAUUCCUUCUCCUUAAUUUUGACCCGUACAUUUAGGCAAGUCCUCAAGGGGCUGUGGGCUUGAGCUAUUGGCCCAUUUUAGAGACGAGGCCCUGAGGUCCUGGAAACGUCAAGGGCGUGGGCAGGAAGCAGCUGAGCUGGGCCCCCAACCCUGGCAGCCCUUCUGGGAGCUGCUGCCGGAGGAGAGACCGGAGCUGCUGUUUUGGGAAAGAAGAGACAGACUUUGCAUCAGGGUGACACCUUCAGUGUCCCCUUGCUACCCCAGCCUGAAAGUCGAGGUCCCUGAGCUGGCGGGCCCAGUAACACACGGCUGCCGUGUCCCCAGGAGACCUUCAGCUAAUUAAGCGUUAUUUAUGGACUGGCCUCCGAGGACAAGCUUUAAAUUACUUGCAAGCUGUGCCAAGGUAACUCUCCAUCCCACAGGCUAUUAAUUAGGAGUCGGUUUCAUCUCUGCUGGACGAAGGUCAAAUGCCACGGAGUUGACCCUUCCGGCCGGCUGGCGUCAGGCUAUCAGGCUGGUGAUCUGAGCCCAGAGGGCUGGGAGUCCCGGGGACAUGGUGGGACACUGCAGCCGGAAACGGCCUGGGCAGCACAUCCUGCGAAGGCCACGCUGAGCGCAGACUGCGUGGGCCCCGGCCCGGGAAGCAGGGCUGACUGGAGACGGCCCAGCCAGCCGGCCUCAGAUCUCGCUCUGCCUUGCUCUAGUCACCGUGUGAGUCAGCCUGGCUUUGGUCGGAGCUGGGUGACAGCCGGCUGGCCCUCCCCACUCUCCAGUACCAGGUCUGGGAAAACUGGAGGAAGAGGUGCUGGGACUGCCAAAAAGUUAGAGGCAGCCUUGGGGGGAGGGCUCUCCCCACAGUGUCACCUCCCCGCUUAUGCGGAGGGCUCCCCUCUGGGGCCGUCUUUGGGAAGAGGGGGCAGGGCUGAAGGUGAGAACAAGGGCUCUGGUGACCCCUGUGCCCCUCCCUCCAGAUUUCCAAACACCUGGGCCUCCGAGUGCCUGGCAGGCCAGGCUAGACCAGCCACACCGCUCCUCCCUUUUCAAACUCAAACCAAGGAUCCCCUCUCUUCGUGCCUCCGGAGCUGCAGUCGCCCAGGUCGGGGCUGGGAAGCGGGCUGCCAAGGAAAACACGAAGCGCCAGCUCGCAGGCGGCUCCCAGCUCUACGCAGGAGCGCACACACCCUGCACUCACCAGGGUGGCGGCAGAGAGGGGCAGGGAGAGGGGAAAACACACAUCUUCCUUCGGGAGAGAGGAAUGUGGGAGAAGGGUGGGUCUCCUGACUUUCGGGGUAGGGGUGAGCAGCCAGCCAGCCACCGAUCCCAAAGGAGCGGAUAAGCUCCCGACCUGCGGAAAAAGACAGUCGGGUGCCCGGGAAAUGUACAAGGUGAAACCGACCAGCUCAGCCCUCGCGGGUGGCGCAGACAAGUGGGGUGGCCGGCGACUCUCAGACCCCGGGCGCGCGUCCCGGCAGCGGCAGCAGGUCCCGCAGCUUGGCGGGCAGCACCAGUCCGACGGCUGCUUUCGCCACCAGAUAGAUCAUCUGCAGAGGGAACACCACCAGCGCGCCCAGCCAUUUCCACACCAUCCUCCGCGCCGCGGCGCCGGGUAGGGGGAGCGAAACUCCCCGGACCGAACAAAACAGGAAUUGAAAAAGAAAACACCCCAAACAAUAAUAAAUAAACCAAAAGAGGGGGAGAGAGGCGUCCCACCUGGCCACUUUUGAAAUCACCUCUUCCCAAACGCAAAACACCGGGUGAGAAAAAGGAAAAUAAAAAGAAAAAAAGAAAGAUAAAUCCUCCUGGGGAGGAGAAAAAGCGUCUCAGAAGGUUGGGACAGUAAGAGGGGUGGAGGGGAAGCUGGAGGUGGAAAGUUCUAACAAGAAGUUUCUUGCCCCGGCAGCCGUUUCGGCUGGGGAAUUCUCAGGUAAUGUUUACGGGCUGACAGAGGAGUUUAGGCAGGGGAAGGGAAAAAAAAAAAAAAAAAAAGGCACCAACCACACGCGCGCACCCUGCUACAGUCCCGCGGUUUCAAAGUGCAAGAUUAAAAAAAAAACAAAAAAAAAAAGCUGUUUCCAAAUUGUAGCGUCCCCCCCUUCUGUAGGAAAAAAAAAAAAAAAGUAGGGGGAAAAGUGCUUCGAGCUCCCAAUUUCAGCCCGCGAAAGUCUCCCGACUCAUUGCUAUUCUUGGGCUCAGGAAAUUGCUUAAACGCGAUCUGAUUGCCAGCAACGUGCAGGAGAAGUGGGGGGUCCGGGUGUCAGUUUCUUUACGUGCAUGGCUCGCCCUCGCGCGCGCUCGCUCUCUCCGGCUCCCUCCCUCCCUCUCUCCUCCAGCAGAGGCUGGGAGUUGCCGCUCGAUCCGGCUCCCUCUCUCUCCCUUGUUAGCAUUUAUUGCCUUCUUUUUGUCCUUUCCAACUUGGAGAGGGCCCGGGUGCGGAGCGCGCGUGGAUCGGACGCCCUCGUCUGCGCCGCCUUAUUAAUUCGCUCCCGGGGCAGCAGCGGCGCGGAGCGAGAGGGCCGCCCUUUUUUUUCCCCCCCAUUUUUUUUUAAUACCCCAUUAAGUCUGAUUGACAGUUAAAGUUGGUCUGAGGCUUCACUCCUGUUCCUCUGAGUGGCUGCCGCGGUCUCCCCUCCCCCUGCGCUGUCGCGGGGCGCGCGCGCGGGCGCGCACACGGGCUCGCUCCGACUCGCGCUCUCCCAGGGCUGGCUCCCCUCGCUGCAAGCCGGGACUUGCCGGCGGUGUCCCUGAGGGCUCGCAGCCGUAGCUCGAACACGCUGGAACCGACUCCUGCGAACCGGCUCCCUCCUUGAGACAUUCCUCCUUGCCCGGGACGCCGUCUCCCCGGGCUGGGGCGCGCGUGGGCCAGGUGACCGCCCCUGCGUGCAGGGCAGGCCCGGGGGGGGGGGUCGGAGGGGGGCUCGCGCAUGCCUUGAUCCAACCAAGUCGCCCAGGGUUUAUUUCAGGUCAUUUCCCUGCCUCCAGGUAGGACCAGGAAGCCACUCCCGACCUUUGCCCGGACGUCUUCUGUCUCCACUUAGAGUGCACUUUCUAAGUCUGCCCCGAGUCUCUCGCGUUGCUGAGGGAAACAGCUGGGGAGCAGGGUUUCGUUUUGGGGGGGGGUGCGGUCCGGGUAAAGGAACCUCUGCCCCCAGGGUGCCAAUAAAAUCCCCAUAAGAUUAGCUGGGAGCAUAUUUAUUGCUCAUCUGGGCUAGAAUUACCUUGACUGACAGCAAUUUCCUUAAUAACAAAAGCUUGUAAACAAAACGUCCUAAACCAGUGGCCCAUGUGCUGUGCAGGCAGCGACUUCUCUCUUUGGGUCUCCUUGGGCUGCCCCAGCGGGGCACCGGCCUCGUGACCUCCUGCUCUCCCCCAACACGAGUGUCUCCUCGGCUGGAGGGUGGGACCAGCCAUUGCGAGUUGUCUGUAGCAGGAAGUCUGGAAGGGCACUUACUAGGCACCAGGUCCUUUGUUUCACGUGGACUCUCACUUAGCCAUCACAGCCACCUGCUGAGGGGCGCUGUUGCCAUCCCCAUUGAACAGAUGAGAAACGGAGGCCCAGAGAGGAGGAGUAACUUGUCUGAAUCGUGCAGUGUUAAGUGGCGUUGCUGAGACAGAUGGAAUAAUCAGAUCUUCUGGACGUUGUGAAUCUGUAGCCCCAGUCAGGUGCUUGUUGAGUUUAUGCUGGGCAGCCAAAUAUAAAGGAAAGAGCAACAACAAACCCCCCAAAAACAUAUGCACAAUCUUGACAAUAUACUGCGUCAUUAAAAAUUUAG